UUGGGGAAUCUUGCGCAAUGGGCGAAAGCCUGACGCAGCCAUGCCGCGUGAAUGAUGAAGGUCUUAGGAUUGUAAAAUUCUUUCACCGGGGACGAUAAUGACGGUACCCGGAGAAGAAGCUCCGGCUAACUUCGUGCCAGCAGCCGCGGUAAUACGAAGGGGGCUAGCGUUGCUCGGAAUUACUGGGCGUAAAGGGCGCGUAGGCGGACAGCUUAGUCAGAGGUGAAAGCCCAGGGCUCAACCUUGGAAUUGCCUUUGAUACUGGCUGUCUUGAGUACGGGAGAGGUGAGUGGAACUCCGAGUGUAGAGGUGAAAUUCGUAGAUAUUCGGAAGAACACCAGUGGCGAAGGCGACUCACUGGCCCGUUACUGACGCUGAGGCGCGAAAGCGUGGGGAGCAAACAGGAUUAGAAACCCUGGUAGUCC
rnacentral:rRNA from 1 species